AAAAAAGAAGAGAAUAAGGGGAGAGAAAUAUGGAAAUGGAAUUGAAGACAACUACUUCUAGAAUUGGUGCAUGGAAGCUUCUCAUAGGUGAUUAGCCACACUCUUCUUCUGUCAACCUGGUGCAGAAAAGCUUGAAGACCUUGGAAAUCACAUAUUGAUGAUGGAGGAGAUACAAGAAUGAAGGACCCUGGGUUCCUGAAUCAACACUCUAAGAAGAGACUCCUUGAAAUCAAGAGCACUCAUUUUGACAUUGCAAACGGAAAAAUUCACUUCUAUCAGGGGACUGAUCGGAGUCAAACCAUAUGCUGUGGCUUUUGCUCCAUGGAAAUCUCAACUAUACUGCAAGAAUAAUUAUUCCUACUUAAUGAAGUUACAGAAGAGAAUGUGGUGCUGGACGGUACUGACUGCAUGGGGAGAGGCCAUACCACAGAAACCUCAAUCUGCCUGAGCCGUGACUCUGAGAGCUGGAGUACCACUGGACAAGUGGGAACUGGAAGGGAAUUGAAGUAUCUGGGGCACCUGUUUC
rnacentral:lncRNA from 10 species